AUCAUCAUAUGAUGAAAGUUAAAAAAUCUUAGGACACCUUCCUACACAGUAUUUAUUAGCUGUGGAUGAGAAUAGAAAUUCCAUUCUGAUGAUGAU